GCCAUCUUUCAAUUUAAUUUUAUAACUUAAUUUAUACAGAAUAUUGCAUGAAAAUGUAAAUUUAAAAAGACAUACAUAAGAAUACAUAUGUUUUACAACACCCACGGGCAGAAAUUAAGAAAAAAAGUGCCUAUUCUAAGCUACGCUCCAAAAACCCGCCUUUUCCCAGAGAACGCGUCAUAUGACGUAACGACAGGCAAACAUAGGCGCUGCAGCCUUGGUUCUCAGUGUGGGUUUACGUAGUCUGAGAGGUGGAAACAGAAAAUAGAGAUUGUCGUUCUCGUUAUUAUAGUUAUAGUAGGUUUGAGUUGUCACAAUGGUGAAUUCUUGUGUUUGUUUUGGAUGCAACAACUCCAACUUGUCUGGCCAUCGGGUCCACCGAUUUCCAAACAAGAAACACAAAGAUUUCCGUGCUUGGAUACGUUUCUUCCAGGCAAAGAGAAGCAAUUUCGCUGCCUCCUCGUUGACAAGACACACGGUGGUAUGUGAAAAACACUUCACACCGGACAGCUACAACCAAGGAGAUCUUAUGGAAUUUCGCAUGGGAUUUCGACGAAAAGAGUGGGUUAGGCUGGCAAAUGGAGCUGUGCCAUCGGUGCAUGCAGGUCCACCUGCAAAAUCUGGCGGGAGUGAAGAGUCUAACGUUAAUGUUAGCACUAGGAGAGAAUCUGCGCGUCGAAAAAGGGAGCUUUGCACAGCCUGCGGAACUUGUGGUUAUGAGCGUUACUGGCAAAACCAAGAGAAGGUGCAUCGAAACAUGCCUGCCUGCAACCUUUUACUCAGCGGUGCCAUCCACUUCUCAGGUUGCAUGGCUUCUCAGACAAUCAGGAUGCUGAAGCUGUUUGGACUGCAGUGCAUAAGUCCUGGCACUUUUUUCUGCCAUCAGGGCUAUUACUCUAUCCCUACCAUCAUGCAGGCCUGGAGGAAUGAGCAGAGGGGGAUCAUCAGGGAGUUGAAGGAGACUGGGGGUGGAUUGAUCCUGUCUGGUGAUUGCAGGUAGAUUGGUCCAGCUCACGUCACGGAUGUAGAACAGGUCAAUGUGUUUUUGCAUUAACCUAUAAAUGUAAUGUUAUGUAAAUGUAAUGUUUUUGACGUUCUUAGAUCAGAUUCUCCUGGACACUGUGCCAAAUACGGUAGUUACUCCUUGAUUGAGGAUCGAAUUAACAAAGUUUUGGAUGUUCAGCUUGUCCAAAGCUCAGAAGUCCCAAGCAGCUCUUGGUGUGAGCUAGAGGGUCUAAAGCGGAGUAUGCAGUUCCUGAUGGACCAAGACAUGCAAGUGGCAGGUGGCCAAGUGGGUACGUGAGAAAAUGUGUUCAGAAGGAACAAGGCAUUUCUUUGACGUCUGGCAUAUUGGGAAAAGUGUACAGAAAGCACUGGAUGCUGCUGCAAAAGAGAGGGACUGUGAGGAUCUGAAGCUGUGGAGGCCAGCCAUCAUCAACCAUCUCUACUGGACCGCAGCUUCCACCCCUACAGGAGAUCCAGAUGAGAUGCAGGCAAAAUGUACAGGACAUACAUGAACACAGCACUCCUGCAUUUGCCAGCUGCGCACAUCCACCGUUGGAAGGAGAGGCAAGAAACAAGGAGUGGCUGGAACCAGGAUCACCAGCACCCACUAAACUGGAGAGUGUAGCUGCCAGGAAAGCACUGGUAAAGGAUAUUCGACAAUUGUCACCUCAGCAUCAGACAUUCUCCCUGGAGGCCUACCAUUCCCUCAUUCUGCACUUUGCUCCCAAACAUACUGGCUUUUCUUUUACAGCAGACUUCUCUUGGCAGCCCUACAUUUCAAUAGUAAUGGCAACAGAGAUGUAGCGCGAACUAGUGAGGGUGAGGGACGCUACGCUGUUCGCUACCCACGGUUUCGGAAAGGUGGCUGGGUAGUCCACCCCAUCAAGGAGAAACCAUCUUACGUAUACGCAACAAAUCUUAUGGUCUCUCUGGUAGAGGAAUACUGCAAGACACCGCAGGCCCUCUGCUGCACCGCCCCCCUCACCUCUUCCGUCCAGAAGGUUGCCAAGGAUGAGGCAGUCAGCCUCCAUCUCGCACGACACUCACGUUUUAACAUGUAAUAAAAGAUCAAUUUUACCAGUA